AAGUCGUAACAAGGUUUCCGUAGGUGAACCUGCGGAAGGAUCAUUAACACGAAACUCCACGUUUCAUACCAACCUGUGGUCUUGUAACUUUCAAGUUUUUUUGGGGACACGAGGGCGCAAGCUUCUCUGUUUCCAGGAGACUUUUUAUUAUUACAAAAACCCCUUGUAUCAUCUAUUGACUGAACCAAUGGAAGUUUUGAGUACCCUUUACGGGCGCUCGCUUCUUGAUAUUACGAAACUCUGAACAACUCUAAGCAACGGAUAUCUUGGUUCUC
rnacentral:misc_RNA from 1 species